CACGAACCGUACAAACGUUAUUCGGAAUCACUGGGCUUAAAGGGUGCGUAGGCGGCCCGGUAAGUUGGGUGUGAAAUCCCUCGGCUUAACCGAGGAAUUGCGCUCAAAACUGUCGGGCUUGAGGAAGUCAGAGGUGAGCGGAACUUAGGGUGGAGCGGUGAAAUGCGUUGAUAUCCUAAGGAACACCAGUGGCGAAAGCGGCUCACUGGGGCUUUUCUGACGCUGAGGCACGAAAGCUAGGGGAGCGAACGGG
rnacentral:rRNA from 1 species